AGGACUAUGUAAUUCCAAACCCCCUGCCGUGGGUUGGGUGUCCCCCACCAGAUCAGGCUGCCCAGGACCUCAUCCAACCUGUGCUUGGGCACCUCCAGGGAAUGAGGGCCUUGGCCUAGCCCAUGCUCGCACCCAAGAGGCAGUGAGGAGAGGAGCACCAACCACAGCCUCAUCACUCCCACACACCCAUGAGUUGCCUUCUUUCUGCUUAAUGAGGAGACCCUGUGAAGUGCUGUGAAGGGGGACAAUGCUCCUUGAGAAGUGUCUGUCAUGAAGGAAGAGCAAUCAUUUUGAGAAGAGCAGUUGUUCUGGGCCUCUUCUACACUGCCUGAGUCAUCUGGGACACAGGCAGAUCCCUGCCCUAUGGAACAGGGAAGAAAAAUGGCACUGAGAUCUCAUGUAGUUGCUGCAGUUUGGAAUCUGAUGCCCUUCACUGAUCCUGUUCAUCAAAACACACUUUGAAUUAAAUUACAGUAAAUCCAGUGAAGCCUCUUUUCAUGCUAAUUGAGUAUGCAUGGACCACCACCCUGAUUCAGACUGAGUGUAAAGGCACUUAAUAGAUCACUUCAUACUCACAUUUUUAAGACACUAUCAAAAAAAAACUUGAAAACACAACACAAACAUAACUAAGUGUUCUCAGACAAAGAGAUCUCCCAAAGUUUAUCUAUGGAGGUGUUUGAGGAAAGGGUGGAUGUAGUACCUAGGGACAAGGCUUAAUGGGCAACAUUGGUGCUAGGUGAACAGUUGGACUGGAUGAUCUUAAAGGUCUUUUCCAAGCCUACUGAUUCCAUGAUUCUAUGAUUCAGAAUUUUCUGAGUUACUACAUUUAGCUACAGAAAUGCCAUCUAGAAAUGUCCUGCUCACUACAGACGCUGUAAGUGCUGAGUGUACAAUGCAGACACCAGAGCAGAGAUCCCAGCUAUGGGCCCUCCACGUGCCCUCCUGACUCAUCACAGUCUUCCUGCUAACCUGGGCAUGCGGCACUGCCUACAGCAGAGAUCAAAGCAGGGCCGGAGCUGGGCAAAUGGGCUGAGAGACAAAGAAGCCACAAAUGGAGCUGCACACUUACUAAUGAAAGCCAGGGCUUUGCAGGCAUCAGGGCAAAAUGACCACAUUGGGAUGGCAAAAAGCUGGUUCUUCCUGAUUUACAGAACUUGCUGUGGGAGAGGCAUGUGGGGAAGGGGAGUCUCUUGUUAGGGUGAGCCAGAUCCAGGAUGGUCCAGUGGCAGCCAGGAAAGAGGACAGGACCAUCUCAAGAGGCAGAAGCACGCACAAGUCUUACCGCAGCCUUGCAGUGCUGAGGCUCUCUGUUAACUGAGCUUUUGAGCAAUGUCUUGUCUCUGACCAUUCCAGAAGUGGCUUCCUACAACUGAAAAACCAAUGACUUAUUUUCUUUCAAUGUAUCUGAUAGAGUUAAAGGAAAACACCCUGGCAAAUGCUAUUGCAUCAUAGAACAGGCUUUGAUCAGCUGGAGCUGCCAAUGCUCCUCGAUGCGUGCUGUACAUCACUGACUUGGCUGGCUGCAUCUGUCUGCUUCCAUCAAGUGUUCCUGCAAGGGAACAACCACCUGCUGGGAAGGACAGCAUGGGGGAGAAAUGGAGUCACUGGAUAGCCCCUGAGUUUUCUCAGAGGGAGAACUCAAGAGCACUUUGUGUUUAGAAUACCAUCCAGCUAUGGUAAGCAAAGACCGGGUGAAAGUGCAUUUCUGAGCAAGAUUUCUGCAAGAACUGACCUUCCAGCAAUAAAAAACCUUCAACAGCUCCCAUGGGGCUUGGGUGCUCAUUCAAACUCAGCAAAGGAGGUUCAGGUCCAUGGAGUACAGGUGCUACUGGCCCUCUUGGACACUACUAUGGUGGGGAAUUUUCUCUCCACCCCUAGUGUGCAAGUGUUCCUGCCUGGAAACAGCCCUGCUCAGCUCAAGGACCAGACCACAGAUUUCAGACUUGGCUUCCAAAGAUUCUGCUCAGGAGAGGAGAUAGAGGAUAGAGACAAGUGUGGGAGAAGGAGAAACACUGCUGCUGAAAUGCGAUGGCAUUUUGACAUAAGAUAUGCGGAGAGAUUCCAGAAACUUGCUUUUAAACUUGGUUUAAAAAAAAAGAAAAAAAGCAAGCCCCAUUUCCAUUAGCCUUUUAUUUCCUGCUAAUUGUUCAGUACUCCUUCCAGUUUGGAGCAUGAAGCACCAUGGCUGGCUCAUCUCCUGCCUACCCGGCUUUGUAGGUUAUUUGGGGUGUGGUGCAGGAGGAAGGGGGAAAAGGAAUGACAGGAUGCAGUGCAGAUGAUGCUCAUUAAUUUUGGAAGAAGAUAUAAAAAGUAAGCAUUAAAGUCUAUCCUAAAUACAAGGAUUCAGCUGACUGAGAGCUCAUCUGCUUCUAUCUCUUGGCUAAUCGUGAAGGCACUUCUGCUGUGUCACUUCAAAGGCUCAGCACAGCUGGGAGGGUUUUCAUCAAAGCUUCUGCAUGUCUGGGGGAGGUUUCCCCCCCAUGAAUAUACAUCACUGGAGGCUCAUUUCCCCAGCUUUUCCCAUGCCUCUCUCUGAUUGAUCCUCAUGUCAUUCAGAUGAGUUCUUUCUCUCUGGAUGGCUAAAGGGCAAGAGACAGCUCUCUCCAAAGCUUUCCCACUUGCCUGAUGCCUCUCUGAAGCUUUUCCUCCCAUCAGAGUGGGGGAGGGAGGGAGCUGUUCAGACAAGAGAUUGAGCCUUUAAAUUAAAUUCUUGUCAUCCAAGGGCUGGGCCUGAUAGCAGCGGGGGUGGGAAGCAUUUUCUCCCAGUAUCGAGACUCUGGCCAGAUCCUCAUCUGGUGUAAAUGUGUAUCAGUGGACCGACCUAGCAGCCAUGCGAUCUGAACUCUGAGCCUUAAAACACUCCCCCUGUCUAGCAGCUGGAUGAAAUCAGCAUCAUCCCCUGUGCUCUGCAGAGUACGUGAGCUGCACAGCCAAAGAACACUUGCUGAAGUUGCUCAAUUCCACUCUUUUUCAGUGGGGAGGGAGGGCUGGGCAGCCUGGUGGAAUUUCAAACACUCAGCCACCCUCAGCCAGGCUGGGAUUUCACAAUAGCCCAGGCCCUGGGUGCACCCAGCACGUGCAAAGUGCUGGUAGAAACGCGGGCCCCUCUCCUAAGCUCAGAAGCGAGCUCAGCCCUCCUGGAAAUUCUGGGCCUGGUGCCAUGCAGUUACAGCACGUCUCCUGGCUGGUGGCCAGGCCAGGAAGCCCAAACCUCACCCCGGCUUUUCCACCCUCCGCUCUCGCGCUUCUUAUUCCCUGGGGCCAAAAUGACCCCAGGAAUCAGCAGGUCAAGACAGCGCUGGAGCAACUGGAAGCACUCCCUUAUCCCACUGAUAAAGGAACUCUAUUUGAGUGAUAUUGUGUUGUUAGUGAUGCUUUUUUAAAGAAAUAUUACACAUCUC